rnacentral:rRNA from 1 species
GAUGAACGCUGGCGGCGUGCCUAACACAUGCAAGUCGAGCGAUUCUCUUCGGAGAAGAGCGGCGGACGGGUGAGUAACGCGUGGGUAACCUGCCCUGUACACACGGAUAACAUACCGAAAGGUAUGCUAAUACGAGAUAAUAUGCUUUUAUCGCAUGGUAGAAGUAUCAAAGCUUUUGCGGUACAGGAUGGACCCGCGUCUGAUUAGCUAGUUGGUAAGGUAACGGCUUACCAAGGCGACGAUCAGUAGCCGACCUGAGAGGGUGAUCGGCCACAUUGGGACUGAGACACGGUCCAAACUCCUACGGGAGGCAGCAGUGGGGAAUAUUGCACAAUGGGCGAAAGCCUGAUGCAGCAACGCCGCGUGAGCGAUGAAGGCCUUCGGGUCGUAAAGCUCUGUCCUCAAGGAAGAUAAUGACGGUACUUGAGGAGGAAGCCCCGGCUAACUACGUGCCAGCAGCCGCUGUAACAC